GUCGCAAGACCAAAGAGGGGGACCUUCGGGCCUCUUGCCAUCAGAUGUGCCCAGAUGGGAUUAGCUUGUUGGUGAGGUAACGGCUCACCAAGGCGACGAUCCCUAGCUGGUCUGAGAGGAUGACCAGCCACACUGGAACUGAGACACGGUCCAGACUCCUACGGGAGGCAGCAGUGGGGAAUAUUGCACAAUGGGCGCAAGCCUGAUGCAGCCAUGCCGCGUGUAUGAAGAAGGCCUUCGGGUUGUAAAGUACUUUCAGCGGGGAGGAAGGUGUUGUGGUUAAUAACCGCAGCAAUUGACGUUACCCGCAGAAGAAGCACCGGCUAACUCCGUGCCAGCAGCCGCGGUAAUACGGAGGGUGCAAGCGUUAAUCGGAAUUACUGGGCGUAAAGCGCACGCAGGCGGUCUGUCAAGUCGGAUGUGAAAUCCCCGGGCUCAACCUGGGAACUGCAUUCGAAACUGGCAGGCUUGAGUCUUGUAGAGGGGGGUAGAAUUCCAGGUGUAGCGGUGAAAUGCGUAGAGAUCUGGAGGAAUACCGGUGGCGAAGGCGGCCCCCUGGACAAAGACUGACGCUCAGGUGCGAAAGCGUGGGGAGCAAACAGGAUUAGAUACCCUGGUAGUCCACGCCGUAAACGAUGUCUACUUGGAGGUUGUGCCCUUGAGGCGUGGCUUCCGGAGCUAACGCGUUAAGUAGACCGCCUGGGGAGUACGGCCGCAAGGUUAAAACUCAAAUGAAUUGACGGGGGCCCGCACAAGCGGUGGAGCAUGUGGUUUAAUUCGAUGCAACGCGAAGAACCUUACCUGGUCUUGACAUCCACGGAAGUUUUCAGAGAUGAGAAUGUGCCUUCGGGAACCGUGAGACAGGUGCUGCAUGGCUGUCGUCAGCUCGUGUUGUGAAAUGUUGGGUUAAGUCCCGCAACGAGCGCAACCCUUAUCCUUUGUUGCCAGCGGUCCGGCCGGGAACUCAAAGGAGACUGCCAGUGAUAAACUGGAGGAAGGUGGGGAUGACGUCAAGUCAUCAUGGCCCUUACGACCAGGGCUACACACGUGCUACAAUGGCGCAUACAAAGAGAAGCGACCUCGCGAGAGCAAGCGGACCUCAUAAAGUGCGUCGUAGUCCGGAUUGGAGUCUGCAACUCGACUCCAUGAAGUCGGAAUCGCUAGUAAUCGUGGAUCAGAAUGCCACGGUGAAUACGUUCCCGGGCCUUGUACACACCGCCCGUCACACCAUGGGAGUGGGUUGCAAAAGAAGUAGGUAGCUUAACCUUCGGGAGGGCGCUUACCACUUUGUGAUUCAUGACUGGGGUGAAGUCGUAACAAGGUAACCGUAGGGGAACCUGCGGUUGGAUCACCUCCUUA
rnacentral:rRNA from 1 species